UACGUAGGGUGCGAGCGUUACUCGGAAUUACUGGGCGUAAAGCGUGCGCAGGCGGUUCGUUAAGUCAGAUGUGAAAGCCCUGGGCUCAACCUGGGAACUGCAUUGGAUACUGGCUUACUAGAGUGCGGUAGAGGGGUGUGGAAUUCCCGGUGUAGCAGUGAAAUGCGUAGAUAUCGGGAGGAACAUCUGUGGCGAAGGCGACUCCCUGGACCAGCACUGACACUGAGGCACGAAAGCGUGGGGAGCAAACAGG
rnacentral:rRNA from 1 species